rnacentral:rRNA from 1 species
UACAGAGGUGGCAAGCGUUGUUCGGAAUUACUGGGCGUAAAGGGCGAGUAGGUGGCCAUCUAAGUCAGACGUGAAAUCCCCCGGCUUAACCUGGGAACUGCGUCUGAUACUGGACGGCUUGAGUAUGGGAGAGGAACGUAGAAUUCCAGGUGUAGCGGUGAAAUGCGUAGAUAUCAGGAGGAACACCGGUGGCGAAGGCGGGUCUCUGGGCCGUAACUGACGCUGAGGAGCGAAAGCGUGGGGAGCGAACAGG